AAGGGCGGGAACUCCGGGAGGAUGGGGAGGAAUGCGUGUGAAGCUGGAGUUGGGGUAGGUCAUCUUGGCCCCGGUAGCUGAGGGCAGGACUGCCAGCCAGACAUCUGAGCGAAAGGUGGAGGAAGGUCGCAGCCUGCAGCGCAGCCGGAUGUGGCGGUCACUACCUUAAGUUGGGCGGCCUUGACCUGCUUUGGCUCCGUACCUUCCUGGGGCAGUUUGAACCUCCUCCAGCCACCCUUGUCCCGAGGGAUGGGAUGUGAACUGCCCUUUCCUUGCACUAGAGGGGUAAAGACUGGAGUGUAUGCAUCUCACCGGCUGGUGUCAGGACCCUACAGAUCACUUCUUUUAGGGCAGGAGGGAAAGGGGUUCAGUCCUUCACUUUUCCUUGUGCUGCAUGACUUGAAGUGAGUUCUUAGGAACUCAGAAGGGCUGAGAAGACAAAGGGAAACAUCGGACUGGGAGAUCUGGGGCAGCGGGAAUCAGGGGGGAAGACCUGGGGUAUUAGACUUCCUCUGGCUCCCACACCCCAGUCCUUCCUUUGCCCACAUCUGUAGGGUUCUGUGUGGGUAGAAUUUCCUGAUGUCAGUAGGAAUUUAGAGAGGCUCCUUCUUUCUUUUUAAGGGUUCUUUAUCAAACUGAUUCUCACCCUCCUCCAGUAUGCUGUAAUUUGAGCUCUAAUAUAGACAGUGUGGAGGCUGCUUUUGGUAACCCAGAAGAAGACAGAGCCUACCCACCAUCAUCUAGUAAAGUCUGGGUCAUUACUUGUUUUACUCUAAAGGUCAGUUAAGUUUCCAAACUAGUUUCCACCAACAUCACCACCGUUAUUACAGGACAACAAACCAAGCAGGCCCAUGAUUAAAGAGAUUUGUGUUUUUAGUAACGAUGGACUCUUUCAGUGGGGAGAAGAGAGAAGGCCCUCCCUUCCUUGCGGACAUGUACUGAGCCUUGCCUUGGUGUGAGGCCCAGAAAGUGCCUCUCCCUGAGUCACCUGUCUCUGGUCUUGCCCAGACGCCUGGGGAGGAGAUAGAAGAUGGAAUGCUGUGGCAUACUUCAUGGACUACAAUAUCUUGUAAACAUAACUUUCAUAUGCACUGGG